ensembl:snoRNA
GCUUAAUGAUGAGAAUCAUUAUUUCUUAAAUUGGAUGACACUUUCCAUUCCUGCAAAGAGAGCCUGGGGUC